rnacentral:rRNA from 1 species
GGCACGCCUAACACAUGCAAGUCGAACGAAGUAGCAAUACUUAGUGGCAGACGGGUGAGUAACAUGUAGGUAUCUACCCUAUGGCCUGGAAUAACACGAGGAAACUUGUGCUAAUACUGGAUAAGUCUUUACGGAGAAAGCUUUAUGCACCAUUGGAUGAGCCUGCACUUGAUUAGUUAGUUGGUGGGGUAAUGGCCUACCAAGACUUUGAUCAAUAGCUGAUUUGAGAGGAUGAUCAGCCACAUUGGGACUGAGACACGGCCCAAACUCCUACGGGAGGCAGCAGUGGGGAAUCUUGCACAAUGGAGGAAACUCUGAUGCAGCGAUGCCGCGUGAGUGAAGAAGGCCUUUGGGUUGUAAAGCUCUUUCGUCGGGGAAGAAAAUGACUGUACCCGAAUAAGAAGGUCCGGCUAACUUCGUGCCAGCAGCCGCGGUAAUACGAAGGGACCUAGCGUAGUUCGGAAUUACUGGGCUUAAAGAGUUCGUAGGUGGUUGAAAAAGUUGGUGGUGAAAUCCCAGAGCUUAACUCUGGAACUGCCAUCAAAACUUUUCAGCUAGAGUUUGAUAGAGGAAAGCAGAAUUUCUAGUGUAGAGGUGAAAUUCGUAGAUAUUAGAAAGAAUACCAAUUGCGAAGGCAGCUUUCUGGAUCAUUACUGACACUGAGGAACGAAAGCAUGGGUAGCGAAGAGGAUUAGAUACCCUCGUAGUCCAUGCCGUAAACGAUGUGUGUUAGACGUUGGAAAUUUAUUUUCAGUGUCGCAGCGAAAGCGAUAAACACACCGCCUGGGGAGUACGACCG